rnacentral:rRNA from 1 species
AGUAAUGCUUGGGAAUCUAGCUUAUGGAGGGGGAUAACUACGGGAAACUGUAGCUAAUACCGCGUAGAAUCGAGAGAUGAAAGUGUGGGACCUUCGGGCCACAUGCCAUAGGAUGAGCCCAAGUGGGAUUAGGUAGUUGGUGAGGUAAAGGCUCACCAAGCCGACGAUCUCUAGCUGGUCUGAGCGGAUGACCAGCCACACUGGGACUGAGACACGGCCCAG